GAUGAAGAACGCAGCGAAAUGCGAUAAGUAGUGUGAAUUGCAGAAGUACCGUGAAUCAUCGAAUCUUUGAACGCAAAUUGCACUCUCUGGUAUUCCGGGGAGUAUGCCUGUUUGAGGGUCGCUUAACAAACCAUCGAUUUCGUUGCUUUUUUUUAAAAAAAAGUGAUGUUUAUCGGAUUUGAGCCGUCUUUUUUUUUAUAUUUAAAAGUGGCUUAAAAUUGAUUUUUUUGGUACGAUCGAAGCGUAUUUUUAUGAUCAAUUUUUGGUUAAAGAAACGCACACGUACCGUUAUUUAUAUGAUGUAAUACGUUUGACUAUUGGAUUUAGUUCAUUCGUAUACGAUAUCUUUCAAUAUUUGACCUCAAAUCAGGUAAGAACACCCGCUGAACUUAAGCAUAUCAAUAAGCGGAGGA
rnacentral:misc_RNA from 1 species